AACUCUGAAUUACCUGUCUCUUGAAGACUCUAAACAUGACAGCUAAAACUGCCUGCUAUCUCCGCUGCUAAGUGCGGCUAAGCUUAGAUCUCAAUGCUAGGGCUAGAGGUUUAGUGAGUGAGCUUUUUGUUUUUCUUCCUCAACACUCGAUCAUAACAUAACAUCAUCACGUUAUGAACUUGGAAAAUUUUACUUCACUACUUUAGAAAAGACUUGGCUUUUAGUAAACAUUGGAUGAUACACCUGUGGUUCUGACAGGCUCAAUGAUUUCCUGAUGGAUUUGCAAGAACUAAGCAAGCUGCUGAAAACACAGUUGGCACAUCUGCUUGUGUCUAUCCCUGAAUCGAAGGAUCUGGUUCUUGAUGCUGACCUUACCAAACCAUUAGACAGAGUGGCUGGUAUAUCUUUUUUGAAGGAACAUGGAGUGGACAAAAUAUUCAAACUGGAGGCAGGUCAAAAAGCCCUUCCUGGCUGUGGACAGCGAGUUUAUCUUGUUCAUCCCAAGAUGACUACCAUGAAAUAUAUUGCUGAUCAUAUCAAAACUGAGAGGGGUAAAGGAGAGAGAAGAGCAUACAAAAUUGUUUUUGUCCCAAGAAGAUUGCAUAUUUGUGAGAAAAUCCUAGAGAGUGAGGGUGUGAUGGGAUAUGUCACACUGGAUGAAUUUCCCUUGGAAUUGUUCCCUCUGGACACUGACCUGUUAUCUUUGGAGACCCCAGAUUUCUUCAAGUCUUUUUACCUUGAAAAUGACACAACAUAUCUUCACACUGUAGCAUCAUCUCUCGUUAAUCUUCAGCGAUUGUUUGGGAAAAUACCAAAUGUUUACACCAUAGGGAAAGGAGCGAAGAUGACCUAUGAGCUAAUGCAGUCCAUGUUUGAAGCUCACGUGGACAGGAAAGAGUCAAAGUUUCACGUUGGGCAGCUUUUCAUAGUUGACAGAGACGUUGAUUUGAUUUCUCCAAUGUGUUCAGCCAUGACAUAUGAAGCUCUGCUGGAUGAGACAUUUGGCAUUGAAUGUUGUAUGAUAAACUUUGACUCCUCUGUGACGGGUGACAACAAAGACACGAAGUUGUUGCUCACAAGUCAGGAUGAGAUUUACAGCCAGAUUCGUGACCGGCACUUUGCUCAUGUAUUUUCUUAUCUGAGUGCAAAAGCCAAAGACCUUCAAGCUAUUUACAGUAAAAAGAACAACUUGAAGACAGUCGGAGACAUGAAGGAAUAUGUCGCCAAUGAGCUGCGAGUGCUGAAGCAUCAACAGAAAUUGCUAGCCACACACAUAGGAGCUUGUGAGGUGAUAAUGAAGACCAAGAACAAAUCUGAUUUUGAAAGCUUCAUAAGGACAGAACACAGUUUAUUAGAAGGUACAGAUACAAAGGAAAACCUGAAUUAUAUAGAGGAAUGUCUCCAGAAACAGUUUUCUCCAACACUUACACUUCGACUGAUGUGCCUUCUUUCACUUACACAAGAAGGUUUGAGUGCUCGUGACUACAAAAAUCUCACUACCCAGUUUUUGCAUAGUCAUGGAUUUGAGCACCUGGUAACAUUCCUGAGCCUAAAGAGACUAGGCCUCCUGACCGUGCAGGAGGUGGGUGGAGUUGGGAAUCGAGCAGGACCAUCAUUGGGCAAAAAGUCCAACUACCGCAUGUUGAACCGUCGGCUGGCGUUGGUCCCCAAGCAAGGGGAGGAGACUGAUCUGAAGACUCCAACAGACAUGUCCUACAUAUUCAGUGGUGCAUACACUCCUAUCUCAUGCAAGCUGAUUGAGCAGAUCCUGACAAGAGAUACCCUCGUUGGUCUGGAAGAAGUUGGAAGAUUAUGUGGUGGUCUGUUCUCUGACAUCAAACAAAAGAAGCAACCAGCUUCUGGUAGGUCUGGUGCUCCGACUGACCCUGUUAUGAAAGUGGCCCUUGUGUACUUCCUGGGUGGCUGUACCUACAGUGAAAUCUCUGCACUCCGUUUCAUCUCGAGACAACUUGGAGUGCGGAUCAUUGUUGCCACAACAGCCAUUGUUAGUAGCCAAAGUCUGCUGGGUGAUAUAAUGGAGAAGUCAGGACGCUAAGACCAAGGAUCCACCUUACAGCAACUAAACUUAGUUGAUGGUUACUAAGUUAUCUGUAGACAAACUGUUUCUUAAGGUGUGCCAAAGACAACAGUUGCAAACAUGUUUGACACCACUAUAAAUACAACAAAUUUUUAAAGAGGCAGAAACUCCAAAUCUACAUUCCAAAAUUCCAGGACUGAGAUAAGUCAAGUGAGUUGUGAACCUUAAAAAAUUCAUGAAACGACCCAAGUUAAAAAAUGGGCUGUUUUGGAUUUGAAUGAGGAUCAUCUUGCCAUUUCUGUUUAAGGCACUCUACGUGGAGUGUGUUUGUAUUGCUCUCGAGAUUGAUUCAAUCAUGGAUUUUCUCCCAUUUUACACAGAAGCAUCAGAACAUGUUUGUGAGAUUUUUUGCCCUGUUCGUUUCAUCUGGUAUAAGUACCGAAGAUUAGAGGUGUUACAAGAGAGUAACAAACACAAAAAAAGAAGAGAGAUAAUGACGAUAAAUGUUCGAUAGAAAAGAGCAGACCACACUUGAGCAUCUGCCAACCACCUACUGCCCUGAACUAACUAGUAUAUAGCUAAUUCCAAAUGAUGUAAAAUGAAAUUUAAAAACUUACUGUCAUCAGUGAAAUAUAUCUUUAGAGAAUUUAAACCAGUUGGACUUUUUAAACAUGAAUAUAUAAGCUUUGAAUAGCGAGUUCAAAGAGAAUGGUAUUUCCAAGACUUAUGCUUGUAAUUGUAAUAUAUUGAUCAUUGAGCAACAGACCGAGUGAAUGUACAAACUAUGUAUGGGAGAAAGAGAAUUUGUUUUUGCUUAAUAUGUUUCUGUGGGGGAGAUUUGUUUAUUGCAUAUGGGCAAGAGGCAAUUUGUUUUUGCAUCAUACAGGUUUGUGCGAGAGAGACAAUUUGCUUUUGCAUCAUGUGUCUGCAGGAGAGAGACAAUUUGUUUUUGCAUCAUACAUUCUGUGGGAGAGAGAAAGAAAAGGAGUUGUAAUUAUGCUUUAGCUGAUGUUGUACCAUACUUGACUUUUGCUUUUGUUUAGCCAAUUAAAUAUUUCUCCCCCUGUUAAAAAAUUGCAAUGUAUUUUAUAAAUGCACUUCAUGCUGUUUAUUCCUUUAGAAAGCUCAAAUGCAAUGUACAUAACAGCAAAUAUUGACAGAAUAUAUUAUAGAUUCUAUAUAUAUGUCUGUGAAUAAGAAUAAGAUAGGGAGAGAAAAUGCCACAGACUGUUAGAUAAAUUGAGGAUUUUUUUCCAUCUUUGCAUGAAUAGUUCAGAUAUUUAGCUCUGCCUAGGUAUAAGGAGUGAGCCAUUUUUUUUGUACAGCCUUGCUUAUAAUUGUAAAAGAGUCCAUUGCUUAUUCCUUUUGUUUUGUUAUUUUUUAAUGGAAAAUUUUGUGAUCAUGUACAAUCCACACAGAAAAUUAAAGGAUAAUAUUUACCU
rnacentral:misc_RNA from 1 species